rnacentral:rRNA from 1 species
GACGAACGCUGGCGGCGUGCCUAAUACAUGCAAGUAGGACGCAGUUGCGAACGGGUGAGUAACGCGUAGGUAACUACCUAUUAGAGGGGGAUAACUAUUGGAAACGAUAGCUAAUACCGCAUACUAGUAGAUGGACCUGCGUUGUAUUAGCUAGUAGGUAGGGUAAUGGCCUCCCUAGGCAACGAGACAUAGCCGACCUUAGAGGGGGGUCGGCCAAACUGGGACUGAGACACGGGCCAGACUCCUACGGGAGGAAGCAAUAGGGAAGCUGCGGCAAUGGGGGGAACCCUGACCGAGCAACGCCGCGUGAGUGAAGAAGGUUUUCGGGUCGUAAAGCUCUGGUGUUAAGGAAGCGGUACUUAACCAGAAAGGGACGGCUAACUACGUGCCAGCAGCCGCGGUAAUUC